rnacentral:rRNA from 1 species
GAUGAACGCUGGCGGCGUGCCUAAUACAUGCAAGUCGAGCGAACGGACGAGAAGCUUGCUUCUCUGAUGUUAGCGGCGGACGGGUGAGUAACACGUGGAUAACCUACCUAUAAGACUGGGAUAACUUCGGGAAACCGGAGCUAAUACCGGAUAAUAUUUUGAACCGCAUUUUUCAAAAGUGAAAGACGGUCUUGCUGUCACUUAUAGAUGUAUCCUCGCUGCAUUAGCUAGUUGGUAAGGUAACGGCUUACCAAGGCAACGAUGCAUAGCCGACCUGAGAGGGUGAUCGGCCACACUGGAACUGAGAAACGGUCAAGAGAACUACGGGAGGCAGCAGUAGGGAAUAUUCAGCAAUGGGCGAAAGCCUGACGGAGCAACGCCGCGUGAGUGAUGAAGGUCUUCGGAGCGUAAAACUCUGCUAUUAGGGAAGAACAUAUGUGUAAGUAAAUGUGCACAGCUUGACGGUAACUAAUAAGAAAGCCACGGCUAACUACGUG